AAUUGACGGGGGCCCGCACAAGCGGUGGAGCAUGUGGUUUAAUUCGAUGCAACGCGAAGAACCUUACCUGGUCUUGACAUCCACGGAAGUUUUCAGAGAUGAGAAUGUGCCUUCGGGAACCGUGAGACAGGUGCUGCAUGGCUGUCGUCAGCUCGUGUUGUGAAAUGUUGGGUUAAGUCCCGCAACGAGCGCAACCCUUAUCCUUUGUUGCCAGCGGUCCGGCCGGGAACUCAAAGGAGACUGCCAGUGAUAAACUGGAGGAAGGUGGGGAUGACGUCAAGUCAUCAUGGCCCUUACGACCAGGGCUACACACGUGCUACAAUGGCGCAUACAAAGAGAAGCGACCUCGCGAGAGCAAGCGGACCUCAUAAAGUGCGUCGUAGUCCGGAUUGGAGUCUGCAACUCGACUCCAUGAAGUCGGAAUCGCUAGUAAUCGUGGAUCAGAAUGCCACGGUGAAUACGUUCCCGGGCCUUGUACACACCGCCCGUCACACCAUGGGAGUGGGUUGCAAAAGAAGUAGGUAGCUUAACCUUCGGGAGGGCGCUUACCACUUUGUGAUUCAUGACUGGGGUGAAGUCGUAACAAGGUAACCGUAGGGGAACCUGCGGUUGGAUCACCUCCUU
rnacentral:rRNA from 1 species